rnacentral:tRNA from 1 species
GGGCGGUUAGCUCAGUUGGUAGAGCGUCUCGUUUACACCGAGAUGGUCGCGGGUUCGAGUCCCUCACCGCCCAC